rnacentral:rRNA from 1 species
UACGUAGGGUCCGAGCGUUGUCCGGAAUUACUGGGCGUAAAGAGCUCGUAGGUGGUUUGUCGCGUUGUUCGUGAAAACUCACAGCUUAACUGUGGGCGUGCGGGCGAUACGGGCAGACUGGAGUACUGCAGGGGAGACUGGAAUUCCUGGUGUAGCGGUGGAAUGCGCAGAUAUCAGGAGGAACACCGGUGGCGAAGGCGGGUCUCUGGGGCAGUAACUGACGCUGGAGGAGCGAAAAGCGUGGGGAGCGAAACAGG